rfam:Canis lupus familiaris chromosome X, whole genome shotgun sequence.
GGGGGGAGGCCAGAUCCUGGGCUGUGUCCCCGGUGCCCUGUGCUGCCGGACCUGCAUUGUUGGAAUCGCGCUCCCAGCCAGGCAGCCCCAU